AUGUCUCAUAUACACUUCCGAAGUUAUUUUUUUACUGAAAGAAAGAAAACUAAAGAAGCAAAGAAUAAGCCAACCCAACACAAUUUAGCAGGCUGCUACUCUAUUUUCUGUUGGUGUGCAGAUAUUUUAAAUUUGCUUCUGCAAAAUGCCAUUGGUUUCAAACUACAUUCUACUGGGGUAGUUACUGAUUAUACAGAUAACUGUCUAAUUUUCAGUUACCGUUUCGUCUGCACACCACCAAGCUGUAUCCUGUUGUGGUUCAUUCAUACUCUGAAUUGCGGACCGUCAGAUGCUAAUUUGAAAAUAUUAACCAUGUGA
rnacentral:rRNA from 1 species